GCUGGGCAUGGUGGUGCAUGCCUGUAGUCCCAGCUACUCGAGAGGCUGAGGCCAGAGGAUUGCUUGAGCCCAGGAGUUUGAGGCUGUAGUGAGCUAUGAUUGUGCCACUGCACUCCAACCUGGACGACAGAGCAAGACCCUGUCUCUU
rnacentral:SRP_RNA from 1 species